UGUGCCAGCUCUCUGCUCACCCUGAGGACUUCUGUUUCAAACUACCAGAUCACGUGAGCGAUGACGAGGGAGCCCUACUAGAACCUCUGGCUGUGGCCGUGCACGCUUGCAACAGGGGAGGGGUCAAGACGGGGGACUGUCUGCUGGUGUGUGGGGCAGGUCCUGUGGGCGUUCUGUGUAUGUGGGUGGCCAAAGAAAUGGGUGCAUCCCAGGUGUUGGUUACAGGUGAGUU